AUUUGUUAAUUGGGUGUCAGUCGAAUUAUUUUUUAUCGGAUAUCAACCGAUGAUGUAAUUUUAUGGUCGAGUGUCAGUCGAUCAUGUUAUUCGAUAAAUUAUCGAAUAGAUGAAGCUGUUGGCAUAGUAUUGUAGAAAAGAAGUCUUUGAUAUAUUUAAAUUAAAUAACUUAUUGAUAGUACAUACAUAGAUUCUCAACAUUCCAAGUCUGAGAAAUUUUCGUGCCAUCUAAGUUCACAAUUUUGUAUGCCCCU
rnacentral:lncRNA from 1 species